rnacentral:lncRNA from 1 species
UAGAUCAUGUUCAAAAUGUAUUAUGGCCUCAAGGGAUUUUAAUAUGACAGAUUACAUGGACGCAAGUAAUUAAGAUAUGUAGCAGUAGUACUACUACUGACUGCAUAAUGAAGACUUAAAUUUCCAACAAAUAGAAUGGUAGUGGGUAUAUUGCCAUGGCAAGUGAUGCCUUUGGAAACUGGAGGCAUGUGUUGCUUGCAUCAAUGUGAUAACCUCAAGGACAGAGUUGUGAGGUAAAGGGCAUCAUUUAGCACAAACUACAACAAGGGUUUACUAAACAGUAGUUAAUGUUGUUUGUGAACUGUGUCUUAUCUCUCUCUCUCUCUCUUUCUCUCUUUGCUCUUUGGUCUUAAAGAAAGCUGGUUCUGAGAAGGAGUGAUAAGACUCGUUGGAAAACGAAACAAAUCCGUAAGUUAUGAUUUUGAUGUUGGCCUUGGAACUUAUUCCAACUCGAGAAGGAGGAGACUUUGUCACCUCUUCAUUGGUCUCACCGGAAUAUAGCUCACCCCUUCCCCCUCUCUUUCCCGACUAAGAAUCCAAGAUGUGCUGUGAGCAUCCAUGUUAUUGGAAGGCCGUGAAGACUAAGGAACAGUAACUCCAUCACUUUGUCCACAAACAUCUCCUGAGGUGGCCCUACACAGCUUCAGGUAGCAGGGAAUUUGCAUGCUGUACUCAGCUAAAGGCUUCGCCAAAGGCAAAGCAAAGAUGUCAUGUGUGCUUUGCAGAAUAUUCUCUCUUUGGAGCUCCUUUUCCUUGCUCUUUCUUGUGUCUUCACUUCCAGUUGGCUGCCAAGUUGCAAGCGUUAGUGCAGGAAACCAAGCUAUUAUUUGGUCUAGAAGGAUUCCCAUCAGCUAAGCCUUCUGUUUGGUAAUAAUCACUUCGAGCUUUCAGCAAGAGGAAUCUUUUGUUGGAGCUGCAAGCCAAGCCAGAAUGAUAGUUUUGAGCGAGGAAUUCAUGCGUCAUUCAAAUGAUAUGCUGCUUCCAAGUGAAAAGAAAAGCUGUGUUGUAAACAUCUUUACUUUCACUAUUACUAAUCUACUUUUCUAGAACUAUAGGUUAGGCAGGAAGAGUAGCGAACCAAAGAUGGUUCGGCAUCGCUGUCUCUUUCACGUGUACAGUAUCAACUGUGUUCUUCUUACAUGGCUUCCUCUUCUCUACAAAGAUCCACCAACAAAGAUAAUCGCUGUCAUCUAGCAGCAUGAUCUCGACAGAGCCAUCGAAUUCAUCAUCUGAUUCGAGAACAAGAUCCCUGGAACCAGAAGCUUUUUCCUGCGCACAACUGGACCACAGGAUCACAUUCCCCUUGACAGUAGUCAGAUGUCAAAUUGGGUGAUGGCUUCCACAGGGGAAUGGAGCAUCAAACUCCCAUGCAUCUCAUCCCACCUAAGAAGUGAGGCAGCUGGUUCGAGCUUCUGGGAAGCCUCCAAGAGAGAUUAUCCCAUGUGGUGCAACGUUUGAUGCUUAUCUACCUUCCACACCUUGCCCUCAUGCAUGGUUGCUUGCUUGACCUGCUCCCUGAGGUCUGUGGGUGUCCUUGUUCAACAAGCAUUGCUAAAGUGAAACCAAUACGGAUUUGAUCUUCUUGCUUUAGGUCAUGUCAUAUGCUGUAGAUGAUCAUGCGUGAACUUGCAGAUCACUUUGCUUCUUUUUCGGUUCUAGUAGCGGAAACUUUUUCUAGAUAGCCAAAAGUGUAGGCUUUUGGAAUUAGUGUUUGCUUGGUG